rnacentral:rRNA from 1 species
GACGAACGCUGGCGGCGUGCCUAAUACAUGCAAGUAGAACGCACAGUUUAUACCGUAGCUUGCUACACCAUAGACUGUGAGUUGCGAACGGGUGAGUAACGCGUAGGUAACCUGCCUGGUAGCGGGGGAUAACUAUUGGAAACGAUAGCUAAUACCGCAUAAUAUUGAUUAUUGCAUGAUAAUUGAUUGAAAGAUGCUAUUGCAUCACUACCAGAUGGACCUGCGUUGUAUUAGCUAGUAGGUGAGGUAACGGCUCACCUAGGCGACGAUACAUAGCCGACCUGAGAGGGUGAUCGGCCACACUGGGACUGAGACACGGCCCAGACUCCUACGGGAGGCAGCAGGAGGGAAUCUUCGGCAAUGGACGAAAGUCUGACCGAGCAACGCCGCGUGAGUGAAGAAGGGUUUCGGAUCGUAAAGCUCUGUUGUAAGAGAAGAAAGGGUGUGAGAGUGGAAAGUUCACACUGUGACGGUAUCUUACCAGAAAGGGACGGCUAACUACGUG